rnacentral:lncRNA from 1 species
AGUAAUUGGAGUACUGCGAUUUUGUUAAAAUGAAAAAUUCAUCUCAUUCCUUUCUCGCCUUUACGAUCUUGACGCCGAUUGUUGUGCUAUAUUACUCGAAGUUCCUUGAUAUUAUCCUUCACAGUGAUGGUCUAUGGUUCAAUUUUAUUUGACUCUACUAAAGUUUACCAUCUUAUGUUUUGGCAAAUCAUGCUUUUUGAAAAAGUAGAAGAGAAAAUAGUAGGACUUUUCUUGUUAUUACUGUUGUGGAAGUGUUCUGUGUAUAUGCAUAGAAAAUCAACCUAGGGGUGCGUUUGGUUUGCAUUAUGAAAGAUUACUAGGAAUAAAAGAUAUCCGAGAAUCUUAUUUCUAUUCAUCCUAUUACUAAGAAUAUAGAAUUCCUGAGUUUGGUUUGCACGGUAAUAUUAAUUAGUCAUGUUAUUUUAAUAUUAUAAAAAAUAUAUAAUUAAUUAAUUUAUUUAUUUAUUUAAUUUUAGAUAAUGUUACCAAAAGUUUCAACAUAAUUUUAGAAAAAAGAAAGAGAGAGUAUAAGUUAGAGAGAGAGAGCAUAAUUGAAAAAAUAAAAAGAAAAAUAUAGUCGAAAUUAGAG